GAUGAACGCUAGCGGCAGGCUUAACACAUGCAAGUCGAGGGGUAUUGGUUUUCGGACCAAGAGACCGGCGCACGGGUGCGUAACGCGUAUGCAAUCUACCUUUUGCAGAGGGAUAGCCCAGAGAAAUUUGGAUUAAUACCUCAUAGUAUAGUACUUUGGCAUCAAGGAACUAUUAAAGUCACAACGGCAAAAGAUGAGCAUGCGUCCCAUUAGCUAGUUGGUAAAAAGGUACGGCUUACCAAGGCUACGAUGGGUAGGGGUUCUGAGAGGGAGAUCCCCCCACACUGGUACUGAGACACGGACCAGACUCCUACGGGAGGCAGCAGUGAGGAAUAUUGGACAAUGGGCGCAAGCCUGAUCCAGCCAUGCCGCGUGCAGGAUGACGGUCCUAUGGAUUGUAAACUGCUUUUANACAGGAAGAAACACUCCGACGUGUCGGAGCUUGACGGUACUGU
rnacentral:rRNA from 1 species